AGAACAUAGUUUUGAAGUUUUCAUUAAUGAUAAUUAAUUGAAGUAAAAAUGCACCAUGCAAAUAAUGCUUAUUUUACAGUACAUUUGUACAAAUUGUUAAAAUAUUAGUGGUUUUUUUUUGUUAAUUAAUAUUUUUAGGGUUAAAAUUAUAAUCUUUUUACAUAAAUACUUUUUUAUAUAUUGAUUUAUCCACUUCUCAAAUGAGAAUAAUAUUGAUUAAGAGAAUAAAUACCAUGCAAUUCAACCAUACAGUGUAUGUGUAUUGUUGUGAAGGAAAAAAGAAUUUUCUAGAGGAUUUUUAGAAUUUAGUUCAAUGUACCCGGUACAUAAUGUUUUUUUUUGUCCAAGACAUUUUUUCUAUUAUGAUCUGCAAUAUUAUAUUUGACUGUUAUAUCUACUUCAUGUAAAAGCUAAGAUAAAAAUUAACUAAAAUUGUUAGAUCGUAAUCAAAUAAAUUGAAAUAAUCUACAGGUAUUUAUGAUUUUGACAAAAAGUUGUUCCGUUUGAAUAUUUUUGUUAGAAGUAUUUUAAUGCAAUGAAAGCACUGAAAAUGUAAUUAAAUGAUGUGAAAGU
rnacentral:sRNA from 1 species